rnacentral:rRNA from 1 species
GACGAACGCUGGCGGCGUGCUUAACACAUGCAAGUCGAACGGAAAGGCCCUGCUUUUGUGGGGUGCUCGAGUGGCGAACGGGUGCGUAACACGUGAGUAACCUGCCCUUCACUUUGGGAUAACUUCAGGUAACUGGGGCUAAUACCGGAUAGGAGCUCCUGCUGCAUGGAGGGGGUUGGAAAGUUUCGGCGGUUGGGGAUGGACUCGCGGCUUAUCAGCUUGUUGGUUGGGUAGUGGCUUACCAAGGCUUUGACGGGUCGGCGGCCUGAGAGGGUGAACGGCCACAUUGGGACUGAGAUACGGCCCAGACGCCUACGGGAGGCAGCAGGGGGGAAUAUUGCACAAUGGGCGGAAGCCUGAUGCAGCGACGCCGCGUGCGGGAUGACGGCCUUCGGGUUGUAAACAGCUGUCGCCUGUGACGAAGCGGUAGUGACGGUAAUGGGUGAAGAAGCACCGGCUAACUACGUG